rnacentral:rRNA from 1 species
CACGUAGUUAGCCGGGGCUUCUUAGUCAGGUACCGUCAUUUUCUUCCCUGCUGAUAGAGCUUUACAUACCGAAAUACUUCUUCACUCACGCGGCGUCGCUGCAUCAGGGUUCCCCCCAUUGUGCAAUAUUCCCCACUGCUGCCUCCCGUAGGAGUCUGGGCCGUGUCUCAGUCCCAAUGUGGCCGUCCACCCUCUCAGGCCGGCUACUGAUCGUCGCCUUGGUGGGCCGCUGCCCCGCCAACAAGCUAAUCAGACGCGGGCCCAUCGCAUACCACCGGAGUUUUUCACACCAAGCCAUGCGGCUCUGUGCGCUUAUGCGGUAUUAGCACCUAUUUCUAAGUGUUAUCCCCCGGUAUGCGGCAGGUUGCCCACGCGUUACUCACCCGUCCGCCACUAGGGCAGGAUUCACUAGGUUUCCUCCUGCCCCCGUUCGACUUGCAUGUGUUAAGCACGCCGCCAGCGUUCAUCCUGAGCCAGGAUCAAACUCU